AUGUUGUUUUAUGAUGACAUAUCUUUAGGAAAGAACAUUCAAAUAGAGAAAUUUUGCUGUGUUAGAUUUUUAUUAUUACCAAGUAUACGAGUUUGCUCUAUCUGGUUGUCUCAAAGUAUUACAGUUAUACGUGAAUAUGAUAAUCAAUUGCAUGUUUGUGAAGAACAGAGGCCUGUAAGUGUGGCGGUAUGGCCUCUUUCUAGAGACAUACUUGACUGCUUAUUAAGUUGUGGGUUGUUUUUUGACAGAUAUAUUUUCUCACUUUCUUACAACAACUUAGUCUCCAGUUAUUGUACAAGUCUGGUGCGCAAGUGUUGUUUCGUUCCAUCUUCAGUUUGA
rnacentral:rRNA from 1 species